CGCUGGCGGCGUGCCUACACAUGCAAGUCCCUACGAGAAAAUUCGCUUCGGCGGAUGAGUAAAGUGGCGCACGGGUGAGUAACGCGUGGAUAAUCUUCCCUUUAGUCCGGGAUAACUCACCGAAAGGUGAACUAAUACUGAAUAAUACUGUUUCUGCUAAGGCGGAGCAGUUAAAGAGGACCUCUGUAUACAAGUUCUUGCUAAAGGAUGAGUCCGCGUACCAUUAGCUAGUUGGUAGGGUAAUAGCCUACCAAGGCGACGAUGGUUAGCUGGUCCGAGAGGAUGAUCGGCCACACUGGAAUUGAGAUACGGUCCAGACUCCUACGGGAGGCAGCAGUGAGGGAUUUUGCGCAAUGGGGGAAACCCUGACGCAGCAACGCCGCGUGAGUGAGGAAGGCCUUCGGGUCGUAAAGCUCUGUCAGAUGGGAAGAAAUGCGGGAAUGUCAAUAGCUUUCCCGCUUGACGGUACCAUCAGAGGAAGCACCGGCUAACUCCGUGCCAGCAGCCGCGGUAAUACGGGGGGUGCAAGCGUUGUUCGGAAUUAUUGGGCGUAAAGAGCGUGUAGGCGGCCGGAUAAGUCAGAUGUGAAAGCCCUGAGCUCAACUCAGGAAGUGCAUUUGAAACUGUCUGGCUAGAGUAAGGGAGAGGAAAGUGGAAUUCCUGGUGUAGAGGUGAAAUUCGUAGAUAUCAGGAGGAACACCGGUGGCGAANGCGACUUUCUGGCCCUAUACUGAC
rnacentral:rRNA from 1 species